GACGAACGCUGGCGGCGUGCUUAACACAUGCAAGUCGAGCGAUGAAGUUCCUUCGGGAAUGGAUUAGCGGCGGACGGGUGAGUAACACGUGGGUAACCUGCCUCAUAGAGGGGAAUAGCCUUUCGAAAGGAAGAUUAAUACCGCAUAAGAUUGUAGCUUCGCAUGAAGCAGCAAUUAAAGGAGUAAUCCGCUAUGAGAUGGACCCGCGUCGCAUUAGCUAGUUGGUGAGGUAACGGCUCACCAAGGCGACGAUGCGUAGCCGACCUGAGAGGGUGAUCGGCCACAUUGGGACUGCGACACGGCCCAGACUCCUACGGGAGGCAGCAGUGGGGAAUAUUGCACAAUGGGGGAAACCCUGAUGCAGCAACGCCGCGUGAGUGAUGACGGUCUUCGGAUUGUAAAACUCUGUCUUCAGGGACGAUAAUGACGGUACCUGAGGAGGAAGCCACGGCUAACUACGUGCCAGCCGCCGCCGUAAUAC
rnacentral:rRNA from 1 species